rnacentral:lncRNA from 1 species
CCCAUAAUAAAGUUAUUUUUAUUUGGAUGUCCUUUUCCAUGACUUUGUAAUAUUAAUUAUAGUCAUCAUCAGCCCUAAAUAAAUAGUAAACUUGAAGAGCAUAUGGAUGUUUCAAAAGUAAAAGCUAUAGUGUAUGAGUGACAAACUAUGAGGACAGCAUUAUAAUAAACAAUGCAGUCAGCGGCCUAUGCCAACCAUGACACAGUUCAAUCCCUUGGGUCUAUCAGUCAAACCUCCUGAAGAGAAUUUAAGUCUGGAGAUGUCAUCAGGAUGUCCUGGUCCAUUCGGGCUGCUAUAACAGAAUACCAUAGAUUAGUUGGCUUAUAAAAAACAGAAAUGUAUUUCUCACUGCUUGGAAGACUGGGAAGUCCAAGACCAAGGUGCCAGUAGAUUUGAUGCCUGGUGAUGACCUGAAACUUUGUUCAUAAAUGGGUAUCUUUUGACUGUGUCCUCAUUUGGCAGAACUGGGCUAGCUAAGCUUCAAGGGUCUUUUCUAUAAGGGUACUAAUCUCAUUCAGGAGGGCUCUGUUCUCAUGACUACCUUCCAAAGGCCCUGCCUGCUAAUACUAUCACCUUGAGGACUAGGAUAUGAUCAUAUGCAUUUCGGGGGACACAAAUAUUCAGAACACAACAUGCAGUAAUUUAAAGAGAAGCAAAAUCCUGGCGUCAAGGUUACCUGGUGAAUUGUUUCCAAGUCCUACUAAAUCACAGCUGUAGGAUGGGAGUUCAACUUGGGCCUGGGUAAGCAUCAAACUAAUUGCAGAAACUUAGACUGGCACAGACUUGGGGGUGCUCUUUGAAAAGUGAAUACUGUUAUCAGGUAAUUCACUUGCAUGGCAUGUUACAGGUUCUGAAAAACCAAUCAAUGAUCAGCUUAAUUUUGUUCAAUCUAGUAUUUGAUUAGUUUUUUUUUUACAUGCUGCACCCAUGGCAAAUAUAAGUUCCCAGGCUAGGGGUCAAAUUGGAGCUGCAGUUACCAGCCUACACCACAACCACAGCAACACCAGAUCCAAGCCACAUCUGCAACCUACACCACAGUUCACCUCAAUGCUGGAUCCCUGACCCACUGAGUGAGGCCAGAGAUUGAACCCACAUCCUCAGGGAUACUAAUCAGAUUAGUUUCAACUGUGCCACAACAGGAACUCCUGGUAAGAGCAUCUUUUUUUUCAAGAAAUACUAACAACUCACAUAAAUCAAUAUUCUAGGGCAUUUUAUUUAGCAAUUACUAUUUUUAGAAAUUUGGGGAUAAUUUGGUAACAUAUAUAAGAAAAUAUAAUCUUUGGAGUUCUGGCUGUGGCUCAGCAUUGCUGUGGCUGUGGCUGGCAGCUGAAGCUCCGAUUUGAGACCUAGCCUGUGAACCCCCCAUAUGCUGCAAGUGUGGCCCUAAAUUUUAUAUAUACACACACACACACAAAAUCUUAAAAUGGACACAGGUCAACUUGAUCUUUCUCAAUAAUUUCUAGACACAUUUUUAUAUUGUUGUCCCUAAUGGUAAAAUGGAUAACCUGAACACUUUUAAUCUAAUGUGGUAUCUAAUUGGCUUAUUCUGCUAGGAGACACAGAUGAAAUAAUACUACUUUUAAAACUACAGGAGUUUCCUGAUGGCUCAAUGGGUUAAGGAUGCUGAUGCAGUUGACACUGCAGUGGCUGAGGUCGCUGCUGUGGUAGUUUGUUCCCUGGCCCAGGAACUUCUGAAUGCUGCAGGGCAUGGCCAAAAAAAAAGUAGAAAUGAAUACAAUUUAAAAAGUAAAAGAGUUUCCCCUGUGGCUCAGUGGAUUACGAACCUGAUUAGUAUCCAUAAUGAUGUGGGUUUGAUUCCGGGCCUCGCUCAGUGGGUUAAAAGAUCUAGCAUUGCUGUAAGGUGCGGUGUAGGUUGCAGAUGCAGUUUGGAUCUGGCGUGGCUAUGGUAGAGGCCGGCAGCUGCAGCUCCAAUUUGACUCCUAGCCUGAGAACUUCCAAUAUGCUGCAGGUGCAGCCCUAAAAAGUGGGGGGGGGGAGUUGAAAAAUUUUUCCUCUCCAAUUUCCCAUUAAAAUCAGAAGAUACUUGGAGUUCCCGUUAUGACUCAGGGGGUAAAGGAUCCCAUGUCAUCUAUAUCCCUGGCCUUGCUCAGUGGGUUAAGGACCCAGUGUUGAUGCAAGAUGCAGUGUAUGUCACAGAUGCAGCUCAGAUCUGGUGUUGCUGUGACUGCGGUGUUGGCUGCAGCUUCAGCUCCAAUUUGACCCCGUGGCCCGGGAACUUCUAUAUGCUGCAGGUGUGGCAGAUUAAAAAAAAGGGGGGGGGAUUACAAAAAAAAGAAGAUACUUUUAAUUUUGAAAAGCCUGCUACAAGUUCCUGUCAUGGCACAGUGGAAACAAACCCGACUAGGAACCAUAAGGUUGCAGGUUCGAUCCCUGACCUUGCUCAUGGGUUAAGGAUCUGGUGUUGCAAGGUGCAGCAUAGG